rnacentral:rRNA from 1 species
AUGUAUCACUAUCUGCGACUCUCUCUACUGCUGGUCACCACUCUCUCCGACGUAGCAAUUGCUCAAAGAUGGAGGGAGAUCAGCGGCAGCAACCAAUGGAGCGGCCUCCUAGACCCCCUCGACAUCGACGUCCGGCGCGACGUCAUCCGCUACGGCGAGCUGGCGCAGGCGACGUCGGACGCCUUCAUCACGGACCCCGCGUCGCCGUACGCCGGGGCUUGUCGCUACAGCCCGGCCUCGUUCUUCAACAAGGUUCAGGCAUCCGACCCGGGCGCGUACCGCGUCACAAGGUUCAUCUACGCGACGUCGAGCGCCCGGCUGCCUGACGGGUUCAUGGCGAGGCCGCUGCCGGCGGGCGCGUGGAGCACGGAGUCCAACUGGAUGGGGUACGUCGCGGUGGCCACGGACCGCGGCGCGGCGGCGCUGGGGAGGCGGGACAUUGUGGUGGCGUGGCGCGCGACGAAGCGGGCGACGGAGUGGGCCAGCGACCUGGACUUCGCGCUGGUGCCGGCGGCCGGCAUCGUCGGGCCGGGGCGCGGCUGGUCGCAGCCGUACGUGCACAGGGGGUUUCUGUCCGUGUACACGUCCAAGAAUUCCACGUCCCGGUUCAACAGACGAAGCGCGCGCGAGCAGGUGCUGACUGAAGUAAGAGGGCUGCUCGAUACGUACAAGAACGAGGACUGCAGCAUCAGCAUAACCGGCCACAGCCUCGGAGGCGCACUGUCGACGCUCAACGCCAUCGACCUGGUCGCCAAUGGAUUCAACGUCCACGGUCCGUCCCGAUCCCCUGUGCCCGUCACGGCCAUCCACUUCGGCGCCCCCCGCGUCGGCGACGAGCAGUUCAAGAAGGCUUUCCACUCGAUGGCCGGCCUGAGCCUGCUCCGGGUCCUCAACGUCCCGGACAUCGUGCCGACCAUCCUGCCGCCGGUGAUCUACGCCGACGUCGGCGUGGAGCUGCUCGUGGACACGCGCAAGUCACCGUACCUCAAGGAGAAGGCGGGCCCUGCCCAGUGGCACAACCUCGAGGGCUACUUGCACGGCGUCGCGGGCACGCACGGCGCCCGCGACGUCGCGGGGUUCGGCCUGGAGGUGGACCGCGACUUGGCGCUCAUCAACAAAGAAGAGGACGCGCUCAGAGACGAGUACCCCGUGCCGGCGAUGUGGUGGGCGGAGAAUAACAAGGGCAUGGUCAAGAACGCCACUGGACACUGGGUGUUGCACGACCACGAGGAGGGUAACCUUGCGUUGUGA